AAAUAAAACACACAUUAAAGCGUUGAGAGAACAAAAAAGAAGAGAGGAGAAAAGAGCGAUAAAUCCGAAAAGCCUAAGAAACAUCAAAAGAGAAUAAAAACAAUUUCUUUUUUUGUUUCAAAAGGAAAAUCUUUGAAUUUUAUGGCAACCCGUCUCCUCCGAACUAACUUUAUCCGGCGUCCUUACCGUUUCUCCGCUUUAAAACCGGUGGGUCCACCCACCGUAACGGCUUCAACAGCCGCCGUCCCGGAUAUUCUCUCCCUCGGACAACAAGAACCAGAGCCACCUCUCCACCACCCAAAACCCAAUGAAGCUCACCAUGACAUCGAUCUCUCCGACCAAGCCCGUCUCUUCUCCUCUAUGCCCACAUCCGCUCUCCUCCGCUCCACCGCCGUGCUGCAUGCGGCCGCGAUAGGUCCCAUGGUGGAUGUUGGAUCGUGGAUCAUGAGCUCUAAACUCAUGGACACCGCCUUGACACGUGGUAUGGUCCUUGGCCUUGUGAAAAGUACGUUUUAUGACCACUUCUGCGCCGGUGAAGACGCCGCCGCGGCUGCGGAACGCGUGAGGAGCGUUUACGAAGCUUCGGGUCUUAAAGGUAUGCUUGUGUACGGCGUGGAACAUGCCGAUGACGCUGCCACUUGUGAUGAGAACAUGCAACACUUCCUUCGAACCAUCGAAGCAGCAAAAUCCUUACCUACAUCUCACUUUAGCUCAGUGGUCGUGAAGAUAACCGCGAUAUGUCCCAUCAGUCUUCUAAAACGAGUGAGCGAUUUGCUUCGAUGGGAAUACAAAAGUCAAAAUUUCAAACUCUCGUGGAAGCUCAAAUCUUUCCCGGUUUUCUCCGAUUCAAGUCCUCUCUACCACACUAACUCAGAACCGGAACCGUUGACCGCCGAAGAAGAACGGGAGCUCGAAGCAGCUCACGUAAGGAUCCAAGAAAUUUGUCGGAAAUGCCAAGAGUCCAAUGUACCUUUGUUGGUCGAUGCUGAAGACACAAUCCUCCAACCGGCGAUCGAUUACAUGGCUUAUUCAUCAGCUAUCAUAUUCAACACGGACAAAGACAGACCCAUCGUUUACAACACCAUUCAAGCCUACUUGAGAGAUGCUGGUGAGAGGUUGCACUUGGCCGUUCAAGAAGCCGAGAAAGAAGGUGUUCCUAUGGGCUUUAAAUUGGUGAGAGGCGCUUAUAUGUCUAGCGAAGCUAGACUAGCAGAUUCCUUGGGACACAAGUCACCAAUCCAUGAUACAAUUCAGAAUACGCACGCUUGCUACAAUGACUGCAUGACCUUCUUGAUGGAGAAAGCCUCCAAUGGAUCAGGAUUUGGUGUUGUUCUUGCAACACAUAACGCUGAUUCGGGGGGACUUGCAUCAAAAAAAGCUAGUGAGCUCAACAUCGAUAAAAAGAACGGGAAGAUUGAGUUUGCGCAGCUAUACGGUAUGUCAGAUGCAUUGUCCUUCGGUUUAAAGAGAGCCGGUUUCAAUGUAAGCAAAUACAUGCCAUAUGGACCGGUUGAAACCGCUAUACCGUAUCUUCUCCGACGUGCUUAUGAGAACCGGGGAAUGAUGGCCACGGGUGCCAAUGAUCGUCAACUCAUGAGGAUGGAACUUAAGAGGAGACUAAUCGCUGGAAUUGCGUGAAGAGAAGAGUAUAAGUCCUUAUGUGUGGAGCCACUGAAUGGAAUUGGGAAAUGUAGAUCAAUAAAUUUGUUCUAUAUAUAUAUAUGUAGAUUAUAAGAAAAAACUAUUUUUAAAAAUGGAGUAGGGAUGAACAUUUCAUGUGGCUUUGUCGUAACGGACUAUAUAUAAAUUUUUUUGGGUCACAAAACUAUGUAUUUAAUUAUUUCAAUUAUUAUUCACCAAUGUAUAUUCACCCUUCCUUAUCAAUAAUAAUGGAAUUACCUUUUUUAUUUA